AAUCAACGCUGGCGGCGUGCCUCAGACAUGCAAGUCGAACGAUUAAAGCUCUCUUCGGAGAGUGCAUAAAGUGGCGCACGGGUGAGUAACACGUAAGUAAUCUACCUUCGAGUGGGGAAUAACAUCGGGAAACCGAUGCUAAUACCGCAUAAUGCAGCGGCAUCGCAAGAUGACAGUUGUUAAAGAUUUAUCGCUUGAAGAGGAGCUUGCGGCAGAUUAGCUAGUUGGUAAGGUAAUGGCUUACCAAGGCUACGAUCUGUAACCGGUCUAAGAGGACGGUCGGUCACACUGACACUGAAUAACGGGUCAGACU
rnacentral:rRNA from 1 species